UGAAUCACAGGCUGAGCUGGGAAGUGUUCAUAUCAUUCCAGGCCCAUGGCUUAUGCCAUCAGACCGUGCUGCUUCCAGGAAAAAUGUGAGACCCUGCUCUUCCCUUUCUUGGACAAGAAAUUCAUUUCUGAAGACUGCUGUUGGUCAUGCUGAAACAUGAAUUCAGAUUCAUUCCAUUUCCAAACCACUGCAAGACACCACAGAGCCCUCAGCAGCCUUGGACACAAUCUUCACCUCAAGAAACUCUACAAUUAUCUCUUUGCCUCUAGGACAGACUGAAAGUCUGAUGAGUCAGCCAUGAAAAUACCCC